rnacentral:rRNA from 1 species
UUAGAUACCCUAUUAUACUAAUAAAAACCUGAAUUAUUAAUAGAUAUUGUCUUUAAACUUGAAGAAUUUGGCGGUGAUUUAAUCUUGUUAGAGGAAUCUGUUUUUGAAUCGAUACACCACGUUAAAUUUCACUCAUUUUAUUUGGUCUAUAUACCGUCAUUAACAGAUAAUUUUAAAAGAAAUUGAAUUAUUAAGGUUUAUUUAUAAAUAAAUUAAAUUAGAUCAAGGUGUAGCUUAUAAAUGAGUUAAAAUGGAUUACAAUAAAAUAUAUUUAUUACGGAAUAGAAGGGUAAGAGAGUUCUAUAAAGGAGGAUUUAAUUGUAAUUGAGGUUUAAUAAGCCUGUAAGACAUAAGCACUAAAUCAUGUACAUAUCGCCCGUCGCU